rnacentral:rRNA from 1 species
GUGGGGAAUUUUGGACAAUGGGCGCAAGCCUGAUCCAGCAAUGCCGCGUGCAGGAAGAAGGCCUUCGGGUUAUAAACUGCUUUUGUACGGAACGAAACGGUCCUGGCUAAUAUCCGGGGCUAAUGACGGUACCGUAAGAAUAAGCACCGGCUAACUACGUGCCAGCAGCCGCGGUAAUACGUAGGGUGCGAGCGUUAAUCGGAAUUACUGGGCGUAAAGCGUGCGCAGGCGGUGCUGUAAGACAGGCGUGAAAUCCCCGGGCUCAACCUGGGAAUUGCGCUUGUGACUGCAGUGCUGGAGUGCGGCAGAGGGGGAUGGAAUUCCGCGUGUAGCAGUGAAAUGCGUAGAUAUGCGGAGGAACACCGAUGGCGAAGGCAAUCCCCUGGGCCUGCACUGACGCUCAUGCACGAAAGCGUGGGGAGCAAACAGGAUUAGAAACCCCGGUAGUCC